rnacentral:rRNA from 1 species
UGGGGAAUUUUGGACAAUGGGCGCAAGCCUGAUCCAGCCAUGCCGCGUGUCUGAAGAAGGCCUUCGGGUUGUAAAGGACUUUUGUCAGGGAAGAAAAGGCUGUUGCUAAUAUCAGCGGCUGAUGACGGUACCUGAAGAAUAAGCACCGGCUAACUACGUGCCAGCAGCCGCGGUAAUACGUAGGGUGCGAGCGUUAAUCGGAAUUACUGGGCGUAAAGCGAGCGCAGACGGUUACUUAAGCAGGAUGUGAAAUCCCCGGGCUCAACCUGGGAACUGCGUUCUGAACUGGGUGACUAGAGUGUGUCAGAGGGAGGUAGAAUUCCACGUGUAGCAGUGAAAUGCGUAGAGAUGUGGAGGAAUACCGAUGGCGAAGGCAGCCUCCUGGGAUAACACUGACGUUCAUGCUCGAAAGCGUGGGUAGCAAACAGGAUUAGAUACCCUGGUAGUCCACGCCCUAAACGAUGUCAAUUAGCUGUUGGGCAACUUGAUUGUUCAGUAGCGUAGCUAACGCGUGAAAUUGACCGCCUGGGGAGUACAGGUCGCAAGAUUA